GGCGGCCUUCUCCCCUUCCGCAGCGAUCACCUAGAGAACGGAUGUGCAGAGAAGCAAAGUGAAUUUUCCUCCUCGUUCCUCCAAGGCUUUCCUCACUAUUCAGGGUUCCUCAGCAAACAUGGAGCAUGGAGCACCUAAUACAGGUCACUGAAUCCAAGGCCACCUGUGGAGGGAAGAAUUGAGAUGUCAGUGAGAACCUCCAGAACUUCCAGAAGGAAGUGGCCCUGCUGACUGACACCUUGACUUUGGCCCCAGUGAAGCUGAUCUGGCACUUCUGGCCUUCGGAAGUGUAACAGACUAGACCGGCAUCAUUUGAAGUCCCCGAGUUUGUGAUGCUAAUCUCAGUUUUAUGAGUAACAAGUUGGACAAAUCACAGACACCUGGGUACUUCACCUUCUAAGAUUAGUGACUGCUCAGGCCCCAUCAGACGCAAUCGUUACCAACGCCUUUGACCCUGAGGCCCUGCUGUUGGAGGUCCUCCGUUUGACUAGACAACGUUCGUACCCUCCUAACUCAAUCCUGGGCUCAAGGCCUCAAUGACAGGGUCCCUCACUGGUCGUAACUGCCAUGUGACUGGCCGGCUGCCCGGAAUCCUGCUUUGUUUUCACUCUCAACACCUUUGCCGACUCGUCUCGGCCGUAAGCUCCCAGGAACCAUUCCUGACCACCUGCGUAUAACCACCACCCUGUCCUGUCCAGCCCCGCCAUCCCUGCCAGCUCUCACUCCCACACUUUGUGCUAUGUGGGCACUUCGCAGUGAGUCCAAAGCCACUGGGGCAGGGUUAAGAGCAGAACCUAUGGCAGCGACUGACUAGUCAUCACCAGAUUGACCCAGGGUCAAAUUUGGUGGCCUCUUCCUUAGCGGUCAGCUUAGCAGUGAAGGUCUGACACAUGCUUCCACAGCACAUGCUUCGAUAAGUGGCUAACGAAGAAAUGAAUAAAAGAGCUAUUUCAACAUA